rnacentral:rRNA from 1 species
UACGUAGGGAGCAAGCGUUGUCCGGAAUUAUUGGGCGUAAAGAGCUCGUAGGCGGUUCGGUAAGUCGGGUGUGAAAACUCAAGGCUCAACCUUGAGAUGCCACUCGAUACUGCUGUGACUAGAGUCCGGUAGAGGAGUGUGGAAUUCCUGGUGUAGCGGUGAAAUGCGCAGAUAUCAGGAGGAACACCAGCGGCGAAGGCGGCACUCUGGGCCGGUACUGACGCUGAGGAGCGAAAGCAUGGGGAGCAAA